rnacentral:lncRNA from 1 species
AUAUAUAUAAAGAGAGAUGAUCCAGCAUGUAUUUACUAUGAAGGAGGACAAAUAAUAUCAUAAUUAUCCAUUGCAAUAAUCAACGAUGGAGAUUAAAAAGGCAAUUGCGUCGUCCGCUGCUUCAACUAGCGUACUGAAAACAAAAGUUUAAGACUAAUUUACCCCCAAAUGUGCUCCAAACCCAGUAAUCUUCUCUUGCUCCAAACCCUUCCUUCUCAAUAAUCUCGUGCUCCAAACCCUCCCUUUUCAGGAACCUCGUGCUCUAAACCCUCCCAAAUCGAUUCCUGCGACGAUCUGUUAUGGAGAAAAUCAAACUCAAAAUUUCUUUUGCGACUUCACAAGUAUAUCACAGGUAGUUCAGUGAAGCAACCCUCCCUUCUCGAUUCCUGCGACGAUUUGCGAUUCCCUAAACCAAAUCUAAAAUUUUUUCUUCGACUUCACAGGUAUAUAUCACACGUAGUUCAAUGAAGCAAUUUUUGGAAGAGAUUUUAGAAAUUGCGUGUGGAGAUGGCAGAGAUCGCAUAAGAAUGGGCACAGCUCCCACAUGAAAAGUGAUCUUUUGAUUUAAGACAAACAAAUUUGGGUGAUUCAGAAGAAAUUUAACUUUCAUACUUUUAUUAUUAUCUUGAUCUAGAAGAAAGACUUUUUUAAUUUUCUUUUUGCUUUUUCUCAAUUGAUUCCACACACUUCUCUUGCAAGUUUUUCUGAUUAUAAAGUCUGGUUGUUAAACAUUAAUCAUCAAAGGAUGUUUUGUAAUUAUUAUUUUUUUUAAAUAAAAUAAAAUCCAUUGAAAAAUUAGAAUCAUAUUGCGCCUAAUCGAGUCAUCAUUUUCCAUAUUUUGUAUGCCACAACUUCAAACUUUUUAUAGGCAGGCAAUAAGGAAAUAUUCAAACUUUUUAGAGGCAGGCAAUAAAAAAAUUGUGUCAUAAGUAUUGCAGCAGAAAUCGCAGCAGUCGCAGGGGUUUUAGCUCUGAAAUCGCAGCAGAACUAUUGGACGUAGAUCGGACGUAAAUUAUUGACACUUGGAUAUGAUAUUAGAGAUCCGCUACUUCAACUAGCGGAUUUAAGGAGGGCAAAUUAGUCUUAAACUUUUGUUUUCAGCGUCCGCUAGUUGAAAUAGCGAAUGUCGCGAUUACCUUUUUAAUCUCCGUCCUUGAUUAUUGUAAUGAAUGGUUAUGAUGUUAUUUGCUCAUUUUUCUUUCAUAGCAAAUAUAUGUUAUGGAUCAUGUUGGGUCGUGAUAUUUCUCCUAUUGGGCCGAAUGGAUUGGGCCUACUUAUUCAGUUAGUCCAUUGGGUCUUCACUAUUGGGUGUUGACAUUAUUGGGCCUAGUCACUUUAUUAUCUUUGUUAAGUCCUUCUAAUAUCAGACCAAAUCAGUGG